rnacentral:misc_RNA from 1 species
GACGAGGGGUCCUAGCGUUGCUCGGAAUCAUUGGGCGUAAAGCGGGUGUAGGCUGCUUAGCAAGUCAGAAGUGAAAGUCCUGGGCUCAACCCGGGAAGUGCUUUUGAAACUGCUGAGCUUGAGUGUAGGAGAGGGCAGUAGAAUUCCUGGUGUAGUGGUGAAAUACGUAGAUAUCAGGAGGAAUACCGGAGGGGAAGCCGGCUGCCUGGCCUAACACUGACGCUCAGACCCGAAAGCGUGGGGAUCAAACAGG